UGAACACACAUCUACCUCUCCGCAAGAAAGUGAUGAAGGUAGAGAAGACUUGCCUGAACUACCUUCUGUUGUAACCUCGGAAAAGGAAAAGAAAUCUCUCCCCGAUGAGGAUCAACUUUAUCUUUUGUUGAAAAGUAUGAAAGGAACCAUUCUUACCAUGGGAAAGUUGGAACCAAUUUUGAAAGAUGUUGAAUGUGAUAAUAUCAUUUGUCCCUUUCUAGAAGAUGUGUGUGCACUACUUAGAUUCAGAUCUG